rnacentral:rRNA from 1 species
AUGAACGCUAGCGACAGGCUUAACACAUGCAAGUCGAGGGGCAGCACAGGUAGCAAUACCGGGUGGCGACCGGCGCACGGGUGAGUAACGCGUAUGCAACUUGCCUAUCAGAGGGGGAUAACCCGGCGAAAGUCGGACUAAUACCGCAUGAAGCAGGGGCCCCGCAUGGGGAUAUUUGCUAAAGAUUCAUCGCUGAUAGAUAGGCAUGCGUUCCAUUAGGCAGUUGGCGGGGUAACGGCCCACCAAACCGACGAUGGAUAGGGGUUCUGAGAGGAAGGUCCCCCACAUUGGUACUGAGACACGGACCAAACUCCUACGGGAGGCAGCAGUGAGGAAUAUUGGUCAAUGGCCGAGAGGCUGAACCAGCCAAGUCGCGUGAGGGAUGAAGGUUCUAUGGAUCGUAAACCUCUUUUAUAAGGGAAUAAAGUGCGGGACGUGUCCCGUUUUGUAUGUACCUUAUGAAUAAGGAUCGGCUAACUCCGUGCCAGCAGCCGCGGUAAUACGGAGGAUCCGAGCGUUAUCCGGAUUUAUUGGGUUUAAAGGGUGCGUAGGCGGCCUUUUAAGUCAGCGGUGAAAGUCUGUGGCUCAACCAUAGAAUUGCCGUUGAAACUGGGGGGCUUGAGUAUGUUUGAGGCAGGCGGAAUGCGUGGUGUAGCGGUGAAAUGCAUAGAUAUCACGCAGAACCCCGAUUGCGAAGGCAGCCUGCCAAGCCAUGACUGACGCUGAUGCACGAAAGCGUGGGGAUCAAACAGGAUUAGAUACCCUGGUAGUCCACGCAGUAAACGAUGAUCACUAGCUGUUUGCGAUACACUGUAAGCGGCACAGCGAAAGCGUUAAGUGAUCCACCUGGGGAGUACGCCGGCAACGGUGAAACUCAAAGGAAUUGACGGGGGCCCGCACAAGCGGAGGAACAUGUGGUUUAAUUCGAUGAUACGCGAGGAACCUUACCCGGGUUUGAACGCAUUCGGACCGAGGUGGAAACACCUUUUCUAGCAAUAGCCGUUUGCGAGGUGCUGCAUGGUUGUCGUCAGCUCGUGCCGUGAGGUGUCGGCUUAAGUGCCAUAACGAGCGCAACCCUUGCCACUAGUUACUAACAGGUGAUGCUGAGGACUCUGGUGGGACUGCCAGCGUAAGCUGCGAGGAAGGCGGGGAUGACGUCAAAUCAGCACGGCCCUUACAUCCGGGGCGACACACGUGUUACAAUGGCGUGGACAAAGGGAGGCCACCUGGCGACAGGGAGCGAAUCCCCAAACCACGUCUCAGUUCGGAUCGGAGUCUGCAACCCGACUCCGUGAAGCUGGAUUCGCUAGUAAUCGCGCAUCAGCCAUGGCGCGGUGAAUACGUUCCCGGGCCUUGUACACACCGCCCGUCAAGCCAUGGGAGCCGGGGGUACCUGAAGUCCGUAACCGCGAGGAUCGGCCUAGGGUAAAACUGGUGACUGGGGCU